rnacentral:rRNA from 1 species
AUUGAACGCUGGCGGCAGGCUUAACACAUGCAAGUCGAGCGAGCGGCGGACGGGUGAGUAAUGUCUGGGAAACUGCCUGAAGGAGGGGGAUAACUAAUGGAAACGGUAGCUAAUACCGCAUACCAUCAGAUGUGCCCAGAUGGGAUUAGCUAGUAGGUGGGGUAAAGGCUCAACUAGGCGACAAUCCCUAGCUGGUCUGAGAGGGUGAACCGCCACACUGGGACGGAGACAAGGUCCAGACUCCUACGGGAGGAAGCAGUGGGGAACAAUGCACAAUGGGCGCAAGCCUGAUGCAGCCAGGCCGCGUGUGUGAAGAAGGCCUUCGGGUUGUAAAGCAAUUUCAGCGUGGAGGCGUUACUCGCAGCAGAAGCACCGGCUAACUCCGUGCCAGCCACCGCGGUAAUAC